rnacentral:rRNA from 1 species
AGGACGAACGCUGGCGGCGUGCUUAACACAUGCAAGUCGUGGGGGGGUCGGGGGCAACUUCGACCUCACCGGCGAACGGGUGCGUAACACGUGAGCAACCUACCGAUUUGUGGGGGAUAGCCGGCCCAACGGCCGGGUAAUACCGCAUACGCUCAGUGAGAGGAGUCUCUUGCUGAGGAAACCUCCGGGGCAAAUCGUGGGGCUCGCGGCCUAUCAGCUAGUUGGUGCGGGUAAUGGCCCACCAAGGCAAUGACGGGUAGC